rnacentral:rRNA from 1 species
CCUACGGGAGGCAGCAGUGAGGAAUAUUGGUCAAUGGGCGCUAGCCUGAACCAGCCAAGUAGCGUGAAGGAUGACUGCCCUAUGGGUUGUAAAUUUCUUUUAUAUGGGAAUAAAGUGCAGUAUGUAUACUGCUUUGCAUGUACCUUAUGAAUAAGGAUCGGCUAACUCCGUGCCAGCAGCGGCGGUAAUACGGAGGAUCCGAGCAUUAUCCGGAUUUUUUGGGUGUAAGGGGAGCGUAGGCGGGUUGUUAAGUCAGUUGGGAAAGUUUCCGGCGCAACCGGAAAAUUGCAGUUGAUACUGGCAUCCUGGAGUACAGGAGAGGUAGACGGAAUUCGUGGUGUAGCGGGGAAAUGCUUAGAUAUCACGAAGAACUCCGAUUGCGAAGGCAGCCGGCGGGACUGUAACUGACGCUGAUGCACGAAAGUGUGGGUAUCAAACAGGAUGAGAUACCCGAGUAGUC